UACGUAGGGGGCAAGCGUUGUCCGGAUUUACUGGGUGUAAAGGGCGCGCAGGCGGAUUGACAAGUCAGAGGUGAAAUCCUGCAGCUUAACUGCAGAACUGCCUUUGAAACUGUCAAUCUUGAGUACGGAAGAGAGAGACGGAAUUCCAGGUGUAGUGGUGAAAUACGUAGAUAUCUGGAAGAACACCAGUUGCGAAGGCGGUCUCUUGGUCCGUUACUGACGCUCAGGCGCGAAAGCGUGGGUAGCAAACAGG
rnacentral:rRNA from 1 species